rnacentral:rRNA from 1 species
GACGUAGGGGGCCAGCGUUGCUCGGAAUUACUGGGCGUAAAGGGUUCGUAGGCGGUGUGGCAAGUCGGAAGUGAAAUCUCUGGGCUUAACUCAGAGGCUGCUUCCGAAACUGCCGUGCUAGAGUGCGGGAGAGGCGAGUGGAAUUGCAGGUGUAGCGGUGAAAUGCGUAGAUAUCUGCAGGAACACCCGUGGCGAAGGCGGCUCGCUGGACCGCAACUGACGCUGAGGAACGAAAGCUAGGGGAGCAAACAGG